rnacentral:lncRNA from 1 species
GAUCAAACUGCUGAAUUAUUCAUGUGGGCAACCAAGGCUGUGACUGGUCUGGUUGUGCUAUUUGCAUGCAUCAGACAUGCUGUUUGUCUGUUUGCUAACAUUCCUCAUUCAAAGACUUGUUAACUAGCAGACGGGCUAAGCCGGAGCCUUCCAGACGGCCUCGUGGCCUCCUAUUGUUGCAGGCCGCGCCAGGCCUCGGCCCAGUCCGCGGCAGCCAAGCGAGGCAGCGUUAGCCCUGGGCUAAGGCUCUGCACUGGGGCCCGGGCUCGGCUUCGAAGGGGGACCGCCGGGGGAGACAGCAGGCCCGCGUGCCUCUCUGCCUGCCUGGCUGCUCUAGCAGAGCUGCGCGGGUCUCAGGGAUUGAUAGCUUUCUGUUCUCCUCAACAGAGACGCGGAUCCCCCAGGAAAAAAAAAGAGAAGGGGAGAAGUUCCACAGGAUCUCCUCCACCACAUUAUAUCUGUUGCAUGACAGACUCAGACCUUGGCCAAUCAGAGGCCCCCAUGUGCAGACGGAUUGCCAUAUCAGUAAGUAAUUUACUGUAAGAUGUUUUAUAUUGCUAUUUGUACAUAAACGUUUUGAUCUACAUGUGCUUAAUCUGAGCAAGUUUCACACAGGAGGAAAAUAAUCCUGCUUUAGAAAAUGUGAAUGAUGGAUUAUAAUUAAUUUGUUAAGUAUAUAUAUUUUUCCUUAGGGUACGUCAAGUCUUUUUAAACCUUGAAUGUACUUGCAUUUGCGGCUGGGCCGGCAACAACAGGGUGAUCAAAUUAAGAUAUGGUAUCUGUAGAUUUAGACUGGUCUAGUAUUUAGCCCUCAUCUUAGGUAGCCAAUAAACACCUAAUGUUUCAGAAUCGGUCGGAGCAUACAAAGUCCUGCAACUAUCCAACCGCUGUUAUCUCUGUGCUGUGACUGGAGCCAUUACAAAAUGGUGUCCGCUCUCCCUGCAGCUCUCCCGUCCAUUUUGUGCGUCUCUGCCAAAGUAAUCAGGUAGCAGGAUGAGAAGAAGGGGAGCGAGAGCACAAGUGACGGGAAAGGGUAGCCUUGAAAGGGGCAUGGAGAAGAGCACGCCACUAGUUUGGAGGUUUUUGGGUGGUGGGUUGUUAAUGAACAGUGAGAGGAAGGAAUACAGAAUUAGAUAUUUUCUUAUUUAGAGGUUUAAUUGUUACCGACUGACUGCAUACAAACAAGCACCCUUGCAGGCAGCCUCUCUGGACCCUUUCCAGCUUCGCUUCUCAUAAAGCUGACCUUGGGCAGAUGCCAUAAACUGUUAUUUUCCACUGGCCCAAAAUGUGCUACUGGCAGGGCCUGCAGCCACUCAGAACCACCCCGUACCCCAGCCCAGCCGGACUCCCCCCGCAAGCCUGGGCUUGGCCUGGCCGGUAAAACACAACCUAGCCGGCCUGUCUGCUGGGACAAACACUUUCCAAUGCUCCUAACCCAUUCAUUGCCGGGGUCUGCAUCCUAACCUCAGCACUUUAAGUUCUAGCAAAUUACCCCAAAUCCUAACUGCAACCCUAAUUCAGACCUCAGCUCUCACACCUGCUAAGGAAGUGAGACUGCGGACUUCCUUAGCGGGUUCUGCCCACGGCUCUGGAAUGGCAGGCAUUCAAUUACACGGUAUCAUAUCACAGGCAUAUGGUGUAUUGAUCCGUAAUGCCACGGCUAUAGGGAAACAUGCACACCACACACUCUGAUCUGACCUCUUAAGCAAUGUGGGUGACUGCUUCAGAGACCAAUUGUAUUUAGCUGUGCUAAGCUGUGUUCCAGUAUCAACCAUGGCCAACUCAAAUCUUUUGAAAUUUGGGAAUCAACAGCACAUAGUGUUAUGUUAUAACCCUCGAGGGGGUGUGGUAUAUGGCCAAUACACCACAGCUAAGGGCGUUUUUUAGGCACAGUGUAAUGGGGAGUGCCGGGAUACAGACAUCAACCAUGGUAUGUAUUAGGUCAUAUACCAUAACUACUUGUUUUAUAACUAGGCACUAACAAUGAACAGAAUUUUUUUUUUUUGCAUAACUGGUAUGGUGUCUCAUACCACAGCUUUUAUAUAAUGAAUCAUUAAAGGUUUGAUAAUGCGAUCCAGCCAGCUGAUAGCCUGUGGGUAGUUUCACAUAGACCCAACAGAAGCCUGUUUUAUAGGACACCCUUCUCAGACAUCUCUCAUUCUUUACUCUCUUCGUCUAAUCCGCAAAUGGCACAGAACAGCCUCCAUAUUGUGUUUGUGGUAUGAAUUAUAAAUGAUAUGGUAUAACGUGCCCAUUAUAGCCUCGGCUGUGUAUCAUCUACCCAGUGUCAUGGCGUGAAUUCAUUUCCCCAUGCAUGCAGCCCAGACCAGACCUUGUGGAAACCAUACUGUGAAGUUGCCUGGCCUCUGGUGGUCCUGCGCUUGUUUAUGGUUAUAAAGAGCAGAUGGCCGCGCAACAUGGUCACAUAUUUCACACUAACGCUCACUGGCACUGCCACACACUCGUUCAAACACGCACGCAGGCACAAGAGGCACACAAAUAGCCACGCACUCGCACACACAUAUUGCGCGACGCACGCGUGCCAGAGGAACAAAGUGAACUAAGAAUCUUUUAUUUACUCUUUGAUAUACAUUAGACAGGAAAAUGAAUCUGUUUCCAUUGACCUUUAUCAGUGCAUCUGAUGAUUGUCCCGUAUGACUCAUACGUAAUGAGCUGAUACGUAAUGUGAGUUGUUAGCUGCCGUACUGUAUUGUAGCUAGCUGUCUGCAUUUGUUAACUGUAGCUAACUGUAUCAUAGAUAAUUGUACUAUAGCUGUAUGUAUCAGUGCUAAAUGUACCAUGUUAGUCGAUUGUAUCAUAUCUAAUUGUAUCGUGG